CAGAGGAUGUUUAUGGUGCAGUACUUUCCGAGUUCCCUGGAACGGGACGCCACAGAGGGUGAGAGCCCCGUCUGGAUGGAUACUAAACCUGUGUUAAACUCCUUCAACGAGUCGAGUAGUUUGGGAAUGCUGCUCUAAAUGGGAGGUAAAUCUCUUCUAAAGCUAAAUACUGGCCAGAGACCGAUAGCGCACAAGUAGAGUGAUCGAAAGAUGAAAAGCACCUUGAAAAGGGGGUUAAACAGUACGUGAAAUUGUUGAAAGGGAAGCGUUUAUGACCAGACUUGUGCCGUGUGGCUCAUCCGAGGUUCUCCCCGGUGCACUCCACGCGGCUCAGGCCAACAUCGGUUUUCGUUGGGGGAUAAGAACAGUAGGAACGUGGCCCCUCUCGGGGGGUGUUAUAGCCUAUUGUACGAUACUCUGACGGAGACCGAGGACCGCGCUUCGGCUAGGAUGUUGGCGUAAUGGUCAUUAGCGACCCGUCUUGAAACACGGACCAAGGAGUCGUCCAUUAGAGCGAGCGUUUGGGUGUAAAACCCGCACGCGUAAUGAAAGUGAAAUUAGGUGAGAGCUUCGGCGCAUCAUCGACCGAUCCUGAAGUUUACGGAUGGAUUUGAGUAAGAGUUUUAACGGACGGACCCGAAAGACAGUGAACUAUGCUUGAAUAGGGUGAAGCCAGAGGAAACUCUGGUGGAGGCUCGCAGCGGUUCUGACGUGCAAAUCGAUCGUCAAAUUUGAGCAUGGGGGCGAAAGACUAAUCGA
rnacentral:rRNA from 1 species